GGGAGAUGGUGCGGAGUGGGCACGGGCUGCAGGUGGGCUGGAGCCCUCCCCAGAGAGGCCCAACAAGGAACGCGGCCUCCCUUGCUCUACACACCCCCUCCAGAGGGCUGACCGGGCUGGCUCCCCAUCCCGACCCUGCUUAUUUAUCCCACCUUUCCAUGAGUUAGACCCUCCUCUGGGCGGAAUGGAGGCCUCGGGCCCCACCCCCACAGCCAGCCCCGGAAGCUGAUGCUCCCUGUGAUAAUCAGCUCCCCCCAGACUUAUUCUGAAAUGUGAACUUCCUUCCCCGAUUGUCCAGUCGUCCCCUCCUAGACAAAAAAACCCCGGCUAGGAUGGGACUUUCUCACUCCCUAAGGUCCCCCCAUUCAGUCCCCCCUCCCCAUUUCCGAAGGAUCUCAGUAUUAUUCCAAACUCCCUCCUUCCAGCUACUCCCUGGCCAUCCUUGUUGGACCUUUCUGGUUUCAAGCAGCAGGGGGCGCUGUGAGCGAUGCCUUCCUGCUGGAGUGCUUUAUACUGUGAAUGAGCAGCCGGGUUGUGGGGUGGGCCUGGUGGGACAGGACCCUGACUCCUCAAAGCCUUCCCUGGGCCUCCUCAACCCCUACCUGUCUCCUCCUCCCCUCACCAAUGUGUUAGACACAAAGGAGGAGCACAAUGCAGAAGGGGGGUUGACAGUGACACAUCCACGUGGCCUCUCCCUCUCCCGGACCCCUGGCCUUUUUAUUGAAGUCCCCACCUUCCCCAGCCUAGGACGCCAACUUCUCCCUGCCCUUGGCAGCGAGGGGCUUGACAUUUUCGGGAGAAGUUUGAAGGGCUGAGGCUUUAGCCACCUGGACCCCCAAUAUUUUGGGACUGGCAAACAUGGAGAGGCUGGGCUCCCCCAGUCCCAUCCCUCCACUCCCUCAGCUCCGAAUUUCGGUUCUGCCUCUCCCACCUCGCCUCUCCUUGAGCUUCAACCGUGAGUGAGAAUUUCACCAAGAGGAAAAUUUCUAUUUUUUAAUAUGGGAGUGGCCCCGUCACUCUCUGUGUCGCAUGGACAACAUUCCACACCCUGUCCCACAUCUCUGGCCCUAAACCAGACCCACCCUUACCUAUUUAUCCCUUCCCUGAUUCCCAAAAGGCACUUAUAUCUAUUAUGUAUAAAUAAAUAUAUUAUAUAUGGGUGUGUGCGUGUGUGUGUGAGUGUGAGCGCUUCCGCAUCUACCAGUGUGCCAUGGAGUUGGAAAUGCUCUGGAAAUUGGCAUCAGCCUGUCUCGGGCUGUCUCUCUCCAUCCCUAGCUAACCCUUUUCUGAUUGUCUCAGCAACCUGGCUGGUGCAACAGUCUCCAGCCGGCUCUGAGCGUUUCUCCUCUGUGUGCCCCUUUGACCAUGUCUGACUGUCCCCAGUCCUCCAGCUGUGCACUCACUGGGUUAAUUGGGGACCUGAGAUAUUAGUUUUCUGAGGAAGCCUGAGGGAUGGUCAAUUUUUGCAGUCUGUAUGGUUGAGAAUCCUGGGUACGAGUGUGAGUUUGGGCAGGUCCUGCCCCUGCCAACCACAGUUUAUUGAAUCCCCAAGCCCCUCCCACCCCAUGCUGUAUUUGUGACUUUUUUUUUUGUAUUUUGCACCUGACCCUGGGGCUGGGGUGCCUUGUCACUGGGCUGCUCCACUCUGCCCUUGGUUCUGCACUGUCGCAAAUAAAAAG
ensembl:lncRNA